CAGCCGCCGCGGUAAAACGAAGGGUGCAAGCGUUACUCGGAAUUACUGGGCGUAAAGCGUGCGUAGGUGGUGGUUUAAGUCCGUUGUGAAAGCCCUGGGCUCAACCUGGGAAUUGCAGUGGAUACUGGGUCACUAGAGUGUGGUAGAGGAUAGUGGAAUUUCCGGUGUAGCAGUGAAAUGCGUAGAGAUCGGAAGGAACAUCUGUGGCGAAGGCGACUAUCUGGGCCAACACUGACACUGAGGCACGAAAGCGUGGGGAGCAAACAGGAUUAGAUACCCCGGUAGUCCCUGUCUCUUAUAC
rnacentral:rRNA from 1 species